rnacentral:lncRNA from 1 species
GAGAAUUCCCACCAGCCAACAGAAGCCAUAUUGAAGAAAGUAGUAGUUACCCUUGGGAAGGAAAAGAGUUCUGCUGAAGAUAACAAACACUAGUUCCUAGAACUUGGGAAACCGGUUUUCUUCCUAGUCUAUUUUGAGAUUUAUAUUUCCUUUAUCAAGAAAUGUAUUUUCAGUAACCUGGAUCUUUCUCCUGAUCUAUGUACUUCAUCAAAGGUGGUGGAGAAUUCCCACCAGCCAACAGAAGCCAUAUUGAAGAAAGUAGUAGUUGCCCUUGGGAAGGAAAAGAGUUCUGCUGAAGAUAACAAACACUAGUUCCUAGAACUUGGGAAACCGGUUUUCUUCCUAGUCUAUUUUGAGAUUUAUAUUUCCUUUAUCAAGAAAUGUAUUUUCAGUAACCUGGAUCUUUCUCCUGAUCUAUGUACUUCCGAGAUUUGUUUAUGUCCUUUGUUUAAAUGAAUCAGUUUGUGUAGCCUGACAUUGAAGAACAAUAACUUUUACUUGUUAAUUUCUAUUUUGUUGCUUCUCUUGUGGCUACUUUGACAUGUUACUCAG